rnacentral:lncRNA from 1 species
GUGGUUGUGCAAAGCACAUGUUCUCUCACCUAAUAUUUUGAAUUUAAUGAUAACCUGUACAAUUCUUACAUAUAUUGAGAAUAAUGUCUUUCCUAAAGUAGAUAAAUAUAACUGCUUUCUGUGUUGCAGGUGGGCAAAAUGAGCUGCUGAAUGCUUCACUGGUUUGGGCUGAAAAGCCCAGCAGGCCACCUGCACGGAUGUGAUUUGGCUCCUCACUCCACUUGCUGCCCAUCAGCCUUGAGCCCCAUCCAACAGGCCAUGGCUGGGAGGGAGUGUGGGCAGACAGGAGAAGAGGAAGAUUUACGUAAGGGAACAACGGGACGAGUGAAGGAAUUAAUGUAUUAGUUACUCUCUUCUGUUGGAUGCAUCACAAAGUUGGUCAAUGCAAGGAGGAACUGGGAGGAGAAGGAGAAAGAGCUAUGGCUGAAGGCAGCUCAGACAGGAGGCAUAGCUGGGCAAUGAGCAGUGGGAUGUGCUCGGCAGGUUCAGGCCACACAUGAAGUCUGCCCUUCUUGGCUAUUGCUGUCAGUGGAGAAAGACAAACCUUGAAAGAGCUGCAGCUGGAAGGGGACAUGUGAUCCUCUUACACCUAUGUUUGAGCAUGAUGAAAUUAUGGGGUCAAGGACACCUUGCAGAAGAAAUCUCCUGCUGGAAAAGAACUAUCCGUCUGUUCUGCAGGCAGUGAGCAUGAACAUGGGGGACAUGCGGACACCCAGCGUGGCUCAGCUUUUAUUUGGUUUGCACGGUGGAUUUUGCUGUUUUCUGAGGGUGGGAAUGCCGUCUGCUCUGAGGCAGCUGCACCUCCCUAUCCCAGCUGCCACAGCUCAGCUUCACCUCAAAACACAUUCUUGUGCUGGGUGCAGUGCCUCUGUGCUCUUGGAUGGAGAUUGGCUUUUAUCUGCCUCUGUCUGUAUGGCAUCUGCUUCCCUCCGCCUCUUUAAUCCUCUGUAUUUUCCAUAACCUAAAAUAAACAAGUAACAAAUCUGGGAUGCA